AAAUCAUCAAAAGCCCUUUUGAAGGGAUAUUGGACUUGGAGGUUUUAUGCUCGCUUUUACUUUUAAGAGUGAGCUCCUCUCAAAUACAUUAGUGGGGUCUGCUUUGCUGGUCCUUAAUGUGAUAAGAUGUUUCUACAUUUUGGAUUUGGCACUGUCACUUGGAUGCCUGCUUCUAACUGUCCCUUGGACAAUGAUGGUGCUCCUGGUCGUCGCCACUUACAUUGGCGGGAGGCUGGACCCACAAAGAAA
rnacentral:misc_RNA from 1 species